rnacentral:rRNA from 1 species
UACAGAGGUGGCAAGCGUUGUUCGGAAUUACUGGGCGUAAAGGGCGCGUAGGCGGCCUUCUAAGUCAGACGUGAAAUCCCCCGGCUUAACCUGGGAACUGCGUCUGAUACUGGAGGGCUUGAGUGCGGGAGAGGAAGGCGGAAUUCCAGGUGUAGCGGUGGAAUGCGUAGAUAUCUGGAGGAACACCGGUGGCGAAGGCGGCAUCCUGGACCAACACUGACGCUGAGUGAGCGAAAGCCAGGGGAGCAAACGGG